AAAAGCCAACUACACUGACAUGGUAGGGGAAGAUCUAUGUUUAUGCUAUGCCUUGUAUUCGUUACUGCUCAAACAAACAUUUUUUUUUAGUUUGGAUCGAGAGAGGACUUAAUCCAUGAAAAUUUUUUGGGAAAUUAUUUCACAAUCAUCAUUAUUUUCUUUACACGAUUGAAUGUCCAGGUUCAAAUCUUUUCAAAAUACAACAUCAAUUAGGCG
rnacentral:misc_RNA from 1 species